UACGGAGGAUCCGAGCGUUAUCCGGAUUUAUUGGGUUUAAAGGGAGCGUAGGUGGAUUGUUAAGUCAGUUGUGAAAGUUUGCGGCUCAACCGUAAAAUUGCAGUUGAAACUGGCAGUCUUGAGUACAGUAGAGGUGGGCGGAAUUCGUGGUGUAGCGGUGAAAUGCUUAGAUAUCACGGAGAACUCCGAUUGCGAAGGCAGCUCACUGGACUGCAACUGACACUGAGGCUCGAAAGUGUGGGUAUCAAACAGG
rnacentral:rRNA from 1 species